UCCGCCGUGGUGUAACUGGCAGCACACCGACCUUUGGAGUCGGCAAGUCAAGGUUCGAAUCCUUGCGGCGGAG
rnacentral:tRNA from 1 species